ensembl:lncRNA
CUAUGACGGCCAGCGCCGGGCCCCGCCCGCCCGGGCGCCGCCAUCUUGUUGUUGAUUCGAGCGGCGGGGAGCGGCGGCGCUGGGGCUCCGCGUUCCGGUGUCCCGGCCGGGCAGGCAGCGCCGGCCCCGGAGCUGCGCGUAGGAAGGAGCUCGGAAGCCGCGGCGGUAACAUGAAACCAACAUGGCUGACUUGCUUCUGGGGUCCUGCUCCCUCUUGA